GAUGAACGCUGGCGGCGUGCCUAAUACAUGCAAGUCGAGCGAACAGACGAGGAGCUUGCUCCUCUGACGUUAGCGGCGGACGGGUGAGUAACACGUGGAUAACCAACCUAUAAGUCUGGGAUAACUUCGGGAAACCGGAGCUAAUACCGGAUAAUAUAUUGAACCGCAGGGUUCAAUAGUGAAAGAGGGUUUUGCUGUUACUUAUAGAUGGAUCCGCGCCGCAUUAGCUAGUUGGUAAGGUAACGGCUUACCAAGGCAACGAUGCGUAGCCGACCUGAGAGGGUGAUCAGCCACACUGGAACUGAGACACGGUCCAGACUCCUACGGGAGGCAGCAGUCGGGAAUCUUCCACAAUGGGCGAAAGCCUGACGGAGCAACACCGCGUGAGUGAUGAAGGUCUUCGGAUCGUAAAACUCUGUUAUUAGGGAAGAACAAAUGUGUAUGUAACUAUGCACGUCUUGACGGUACCUAAUCAGAAAGCCACGGCUAACUACGUG
rnacentral:rRNA from 1 species